GGAAGUGUCUUUGAAGCGGCAAGAAUUAGAAGCAGUUUUGGUGUCAGACACACUCACUGACUCACUGCUUCUUGUUUUUCUUCUUCUUCUUCUUCU
rnacentral:pre_miRNA from 14 species